UACGAGGGGGGCAAGCGUUGUUCGGAAUUAUUGGGCGUAAAGGGCGCGUAGGCGGUGCGGUAAGUCUGAUGUGAAAUCUCCGGGCUCAACUCGGAGUCUGCAUCAGAAACUGCCGUGCUCGAGUGUGGGAGAGGUGAGUGGAAUUCCCGGUGUAGCGGUGAAAUGCGUAGAUAUCGAGAGGAACACCAGUGGCGAAGGCGAGUCCCUGGACAACACCUGACACUGAGGCACGAAAGCUAGGGGAGCAAACAGG
rnacentral:rRNA from 1 species